rnacentral:rRNA from 1 species
AUACAGAGGGUGCAAGCGUUAAGCGGAUUUACUGGGCGUAAAGCGCGCGUAGGUGGCUAAUUAAGUCAAAUGUGAAAUCCCCGAGCUUAACUUGGGAAUUGCAUUCGACACUGGUUAGCUAGAGUAUGGGAGAGGAUGGUAGAAUUCCAGGUGUAGAGGUGAAAUGCGUAGAGAUCUGGAGGAAUACCGAUGGCGAAGGCAGCCAUCUGGCCGAAUACUGACACUGAGGUGCGAAAGCAUGGGGAGCAAACAGGAUUAGAUACCCUGGUAGUCCAGGCCGUAAACGAUGUCUACUAGCCGUUGGGGCCCUUGAGGCUUUAGUGGCGCAGCUAACGCGAUAAGUAGACCGCCUGGGGAGUACGGUCGCAAGACUAAAACUCAAAUGAAUUGACGGGG